rnacentral:lncRNA from 1 species
CUGGCACCGUUCCGACUUCUGGAAGACAUAAUGUAUAAUCUCUGAAAAUAAAAAUAAAUAGAUUUACCAAGUUAAUUAUAUAAUUAUGGAUGGCAAUGUAAGAUUUAAAAUGCUACAAGAUAAAUAAUUAAAAUGAUUCAAAGAUUAUAUACUUAGCACUACUCAUCGGCCUCUUCAGAUGUCUGGUACCCUUUGGAUUCUUCUUCUGAUUCUUCCUCUUCUUCCACCUCUUCCUCUUCUUCCUCUUCUUCUCCUUCUUGGAUAAGAUUGUCCUUUAAAAUA